AAGUCGAGGGGCAGCAUGAUUGAAGCUUGCUUCAAUCGAUGGCGACCGGCGCACGGGUGAGUAACACGUAUCCAACCUGCCGAUAACUCGGGGAUAGCCUUUCGAAAGAAAGAUUAAUACCCGAUAGCAUAGUUUUUCCGCAUGGUUUCACUAUUAAAGAAUUUCGGUUAUCGAUGGGGAUGCGUUCCAUUAGAUAGUUGGCGGGGUAACGGCCCACCAAGCCUUCGAUGGAUAGGGGUUCUGAGAGGAAGGUCCCCACAUUGGAACUGAGACACGGUCCAAACUCC
rnacentral:rRNA from 1 species